GCACGCACGCACGCACGCACGGUGCCCUCGAGCGACUAUUUCCCGCACACAAAAAAACGCACCCACCACCUCGGCUCUCCUCCUAGGGCGACACCGGGGCGCCCUCGGACCCUAGCCAUCACAAACUUCCACCACAACCACGCCGCCGUCGCCGGCAGCCAUCGCCGGUGGCCACGAAGGCGGCUCCUCAAAGCAGGGACGCGUCUCCCGUCGAAAUCCAAGUCCGUUUGCGCGAGCUUUUCCGCCCCUCGAUCCGAUCUUCACCUUCGCUCAUGGUGGCCGUCAGCUGACCUCCCGCCGGCGGCCAGCUUGAUCUGCGCGGCACUCGGCUGCCCGCAUGGCCCACCUCCCCCCCAUCGCGGCACUCGUUGGCCGCCGUUGGGCCUGCUUGCGGUGCAUAGAUCGUGUCACGCGCGACGGCUACAUCAUCGCCGGAUUUGUCCUUUCGUCCGACUGCGAUCCCAACUCGAGCGCCCUUCUCCACCGCCCGCUUCCCCCACUCCCGCUUGACUCCAUGGGGGGCGUCGGUGGCGACGCUCUGCCCGGAGUUCCGCGGAUCUGCGUCUGCCAGUCACGUUUGGCCUCCGUUUGCUGUGCUCUGCCGGCCCUGGCCCGCGCCGGGGUGGCCCUUGGCUCGUCACCAGGCUCAGCUAGCAUGUGGAGCAACGUGCAGAUUUAAUAGGCCGUGAGAAUUAGAACUAAUAAUGAGCCUUCAAGUUUCUAAAGGCCGAGGGGUCAUCGAGGAGCCGGUGCCGAGGUCCUAGAGGAGGCGCCGCCGCCUUCGUUGCGGACCUGCAGGUCGCCAUCUGGACAUCGCUGCCGAGGUCCGCCUUCGCCCUUUGCAUGUUCAUAUAUCCAUUGGACGCCACACCAAUUUUUCACAGUACGUAUGUACAUCUAUUGGGCACUGAUACAUACAUCCAUUAAUGUCUCCGGCUCCUGUCCUUGUGCUUCAUGACCUUGGGCGGGACUGGCGCGGACAUGGAGAACAGCGACAAGGCCAGGUUUGCGGAUGUGUUGCGAACUUGCGAUAGUUCUCGACCGGGUGCUCGCCCGCAAUGACCGUGGCCUAGCAGCAGGAUAGCAUAAGCUCUCCCUUGUUCUUUUAUGCUUGAAUCAGAUUUUGUGGUUCUCAAUUUUACACAUUUAUUGAUCUUGGUCUUCUUUUGUAUGCAGGGUACACUUAUGUUUCAUGUCUAUUCUGCAGAUUUUUAGAACACUGAGUGCAUAUCUUGCCUUGCAAUGCUGCUGAUUCGACAACUGAACUGGAUUCAAACUGGACUUGCGACUAGAGCAACCCCAAGCAAGAUAAACUCGAUUGGAAGAUGUCUUCUAAACUCUGAAGGCAAGCACUUGGCUGACACUUUUGUUCGUGUAGAAGGCAUGUCGUUUGAUUCAUGCCAAGAAGCGUACAAACAGUAUAAGCUAUUCGCUUGGGAGAAUGAUUUCAGAAUUCAUCAUGGAAAGCCGAGAUGAGGGCUUGAACGUUACCAGUUGAUGCACAAAAUUGUGUGCUGGUGCUAGGUUAAGAGGGACAAAGGUAAUUCUUCUUCGUGCAAAACAGAAUGAAGGCGAGGAUGCAUCUCCUCCAUGCAAAGCAGGUUGGUAUGUGAGCAUAUUCAGGAACCAGCAAAAUCACCCUCUAUCUGCAAUUUGUGAAGAGAAGAGGCAGUGGAACUCACACAGUGAGAUCAAUCCAGUUCUUAUGAAAAAAUUUCAUCAAGAAUCUCAAAGUAAAUAAUUUCAGCCUCAGCAAGGUGUACAAUAUUCUCACCGUAAUGCAUAGCGAUUAGUCAGGAGCAACAUUCCGUAAGCAAAACUUAAGGUACCUUUGCUCAACGCUUGCUUAGUAUUCAAUAACAAAUGACAUGUCAAGACUGUCAAGCUUUUAUAAGACAUGAAAACCGUCAAUCCAUGUCUGUCAAUAUGUGUUGUGCACGUCCAGAAUAUUUUCAGGCAUAUGGGAAUGUUGUGCAGACAUUCUGUUGGUUUCAGACAAUUGAAAGCAGUGAUACAGUCCAAAUUUUGGCAAGAGAAAGGAGUUUAGGAAAGACGACAGAGGAGGAAUAUGAUGUUGCCCCAACCCCAAGUACUACCUUUAGACCCGUGUCCACUUUUGGACAACCAUAGGGAUUUAGAGUUCAUGAAGAGUGCAACUGAAUUUAAUAAUAGAUACGAUAAACUAUCUUAGCCAUGGUGUGAUCUUUUGUCCCUGCCUGUGUUACUUUCAUGAUUCCAUGUACAAAGCAAAAAAUGACGGCGAGAAAAGAAACAACUGAAAUUUGGUGUUCUGUGUUGUAGCCCGAAUUUGGUUUUUAUUUAUUUGCUACAGUUUGUGAAUUUUAUCACUAGCCCUAUACCAUGAAAAACAACAUGCUAUAUAAUCAAAGUUCAUUUUUUUCAGUAUAUAUACUUCUAAUUUCCAUUGGUAUUGUUGUCACUUCUACCAUUGUAACAAGCAUUUGUACUGGACCUCAAAAGUCGAAGGAUGGGUUUGUUUCCUGCUUUACUAGGGCACAUGACUAAUAUGUCUAUUUGUACAUUACAAGUAGAUGUGUCGUAAUUUUUAUCUUGUAGAUAUAAUUUCCAACAAAAAAAUUGGUUGCCAUGUUUGUGUUUGCAUUCUUCUCAUUUGGUAGGCAAUUCGAGAAUUGAAGAGCAUAUUGCCUUUACACAAUAUUCUUUUCUCUUAAGAUAAUCUCUGAAGAAUAUAAAUUAGGUAUUUCACUCCUCAAUGUAAUGAUGUAUGACUCUAAACCAAUUGAGGCCUCUCUAGGAAGUCGCAAAUCUCAUUCGUUCCUUAGACAUGAGAUAUUACAUGCUUAUUACAUGCAAGGUUUAAGGAAUAAAAAACCUUAUAUGGCUGUGUACGCCAAGGUGCUGGACUUAGAAUUGUGUUGUUUUUGGGUACUUUGCAAGCUAACCUUCUAUUGCAUGAACUUGUUGACCAUCCCAGAGAAGAUUGUGGACUGCUAAGAGCUGUGCAUUAAACAAUCAUGAAGAAUUAAUGGCAUUUUCAUGUAACAUAACUCAGUAUCAGGUUUAGCUUGAGCGAAUAUGCCAACUCCUACAGGUUCAAAUGACUUGAAGAAAUAAUGUGAGAAGUGAGUAUAGGAGGAGCUUGAACAUUAAAGCGAAAACGAUUACAAGGUCUAUCAGCAUGGGUAAAAGAAAACUGAGGACAUAGCCACGACGUGGGGAACCUAUAUUUCAUAGCAUUAUCUUUUCGUUAGUUGAUCCAUUCAAUCUAUAUGAAACAAUUGGCAAUAUUUACACCUGACAUGGUUGAGAGGCUACGGAGCAAGCGAAUUUGCACUCGUAUUUGGUCGGCGAUGGAGAUGAAUUUGGGAGAGAUGUGGCUGGGAGUUGCACCAGUCAUUUUUCUGCCCUCUC